UGUGGCUCUGGUACCAGCCAUGAC
rnacentral:piRNA from 1 species